UACGUAGGGUGCAAGCGUUGUCCGGAAUUAUUGGGCGUAAAGGGCUCGUAGGCGGUCCAUCGCGUCGGGAGUGAAAAGCUGGGGCUUAACCCCAGUCCUGCUUCCGAUACGGGUGGACUAGAGGUAGGUAGGGGAGAUCGGAAUUCCUGGUGUAGCGGUGAAAUGCGCAGAUAUCAGGAGGAACACCGAUGGCGAAGGCAGGUCUCUGGGCCACUACUGACGCUGAGAAGCGAAAGCAUGGGGGGCGAACAGG
rnacentral:rRNA from 1 species